rnacentral:rRNA from 1 species
AACGAACGCUGGCGGCAUGCCUAACACAUGCAAGUCGAACGAGACCUUCGGGUCUAGUGGCGCAAGGGUGCGUAACGCGUGGGAACCUGCCCUUAGGUUCGGAAUAACUCCCCGAAAGGGGUGCUAAUACCGGAUAAUGUCUUCGGACCAAAGAUUUAUCGCCUUUGGAUGGGCCCGCGUUGGAUUAGCUAGUUGGUAGGGUAAAAGCCUACCAAGGCGACGAUUCAUAGCUGGUCUGAGAGGAUGAUCAGCCACACUGGGACUGAGACACGGCCCAGACUCCUACGGGAGGCAGCAGUGGGGAAUAUUGGACAAUGGGCGAAAGCCUGAUCCAGCAAUGCCGCGUGAGUGAUGAAGGCCUUAGGGUUGUAAAGCUCUUUUACCCGGGAUGAUAAUGACAGUACCGGGAGAAUAAGCUCCGGCUAACUCCGUG